AUGAAGAUGAUUGAGCAGCACAAUCAGGAAUACAGGGAAGGGAAACACAGCUUCACAAUGGCCAUGAACGCCUUUGGAGAAAUGACCAGUGAAGAAUUCAGGCAGGUGGUGAAUGGCUUUCAAAACCAGAAGCACAGGAAGGGGAAAGUGCUCCAGGAACCUCUGCUUCAUGACAUCCGCAAAUCUGUGGAUUGGAGAGAGAAAGGCUACGUGACUCCUGUGAAGGAUCAGUGCAGCUGGGGCUCUGUAAGGACAGAUGUUAGGAAAACUGAGAAACUAGUUUCACUGAGUGUGCAGACCUGGUGGACUGCUCUAGGCUUCAAGGCAAUGUUGGCUGCAUUUUUGGAGAACCAUUAUUUUGCUUCCAGUAUGUUGCCGACAAUGGAGGCCUGGACUCUGAGGAAUCCUUUUCAUAUGAAGAAAAGCUCUGGAGACUGGAAAGUCCAAGGUCACAGAGGUGCAUCUGGUGAGAGCCUUCUUGCUAGUGGGGAAUCUCAGCAGAGUCCUGAGGUGGCACAGUAUUCUGGGAAGCAUCAAGUGCAGUGUCAUCUUAUCGAGGAGGCUCUGCAGAUGCUAAGUGGUGGGGAUGAGGAUCACGAUGAAGACAAAUGGCCCCAUGACAUGAGGAAUCAUCUGGCUGGAGAGGCCCAGGUGUAG